UUCCCUUAUUAUGCUGUUGUUAACUUUUCAUUUCUUCGUACCAAAUACCAGUGAGUCAUAAAUAACUCCCUCUUCUUCUUUCUAAUGUUAGACACCAUUACCCCAUUAACACAGAGGUUUUUCUUUUUCUUUUUCAAAAUUCGAAUGUGUGUGUGUGAAGCUGUGCAAAGGUCCAUUUAUGCGGGAAUUAAAUGGAAUUUCGGCAAACAAUGCCUACAACAAUGAGGAAAUUGAAACCGCGAAAGUCAAAUAUUAUGUUCAAAUCACACUUCAUACACACAUUCAAAAAUAUAAGAACUCGAGACUACAUCAAAAGCAAGAUUCAAGAUUGAAGAUAUAGAAAAAUAAGUGAAUGAUUUCUACCAAUAUCCUGUAAUUCAAGUACAAUUUUACAUAGGCAAUGCCUAAAAUGUUCAAUUUUUUUUUAGUAAAAUAUGUUAUUUGACAUGUUUUAAUUGCUCAAUAUAUGUUCAAAGUAAAAACAUAGUAAUGCAAUAA